rnacentral:rRNA from 1 species
AUUGAACGCUGGCGGAAUGCUUUACACAUGCAAGUCGAACGGCAGCACGGACUUCGGUCCGGUGGCGAGUGGCGAACGGGUGAGUAAUGUAUCGGAACGUGCCCAGUCGUGGGGGAUAACGUAGUGAAAAUUACGCUAAUACCGCAUACGAUCUAUGGAUGAAAGCGGGGGAUCGCAAGACCUCGCGUGAUUGGAGCGGCCGAUAUCAGAUUAGGUAGUUGGUGGGGUAAAGGCCCACCAAGCCAACGAUCUGUAGCUGGUCUCAGAGGACGACCAGCCACACUGGAACUGAGACACGGUCCAGACUCCUACGGGAGGCAGCAGUGGGGAAUUUUGGACAAUGGGCGAAAGCCUGAUCCAGCCAUUCCGCGUGCAGGAUGAAGGCCCUCGGGUUGUAAACUGCUUUUGUACAGAACGAAAAGGUUUCUACUAAUACUAGGAGCUCAUGACGGUACUGUAAGAAUAAGCACCGGCUAACUACGUGCCAGCCGCCGCCGUAA